rnacentral:lncRNA from 1 species
AUGCUAAGUGCUGAAAAGCCUGUGCCAGGAUCUUCUAGUCCUGCACAUUCAGAGUACAGACUCAGCAAUUCUUCAAUCAACAGGAUGUUUUCAGAGAUCGUUUGCUUCACAGCUCCCUUUAGAAGCAGUGAAAAGAGACCUUGGGAUAGGCUGCAGUACCCUCUGGAGAUACUUAUGUAUCCCAAAGGUGGCUGUGCUCAAAAUUUAGAGUCUCAGUUAGAUGGGUAAGUCCAGAUUUAGCAUCCCUUCACAGUGCUCCAAUACCAAAUCUCUCUCUUUUGGGCUAUAAAGUUUCAUCAGGGCUAUUUCUUCUCACUUUUCCAAAUCUCAUAUUGAUCCUUCCUAUGCUUUGAAGUGCUACUAACCUUCUGAGACUGCAUCUUCAUUUGCCAUGAGAAUAUAUAAAACACUCCACCGAGGUAGAUAGGCAAGGCUGAGGAAGGCAACCUUUGUUAUGAGCUUCCAGGUUCUUGUAAUAUUUACUGUCCCCAAGGAGAAAAUACAUAUUCUGAGAAUAUGGAUGUCUAGUAAAAGCAAUCCCUUCCCUUCUCUUUCCCUCUCCCUUCCCCUUCCCCUCCCCUUUCCCUUUCUCUUUCCCUUAUAGCCAGAUAGUUGAGUGUUUGGGUUGGAAAUUCCUGUUAAUUCUCUAGUUAACAUAUCUGCAUCUUCCAAGCCAGCUGGAUCUCAGGUAUGAAAAUAGCCAGUUUUACCCAUAUUAAGAGAACUAGUUUUCUGAUCCUUAAUCAUACUAAAAUAUGUCAGCGAAGGUCACCAAAUAAUCCUACCUACUCUGGGCAGUCAAUAACCAUUCUUCCAUGUGGGUGACAUCCAUGCAGUGUCCUUUCCCAGGCCUUCUUCAGAUCUUCAAGAUAUCUCUUGUAUAAAAAGCUGAGGAACAACUAUGCUGCCAGGAGGGCUUGUUUCACAUUCGUUUCCACUUUUUUCCUAACUCUGCGAUUCAUUAGGGCUUGGAGAUGCUAGCAUGCUUUCUUCUAAACACAAGGAGAGAACAAUUUUCCAAAGACUGAAGAAGAACAGCCAAGUGCUGAAGAAAUAGCCUGUAUGUUGUCUCACUGCAGUAUGGUGCUAUUCUCUACAGUUGGUGAAUCAUUGCCAAUAAACUAGUUUGUUUUUGACUUCUUCA